rnacentral:rRNA from 1 species
UACAGAGGGGGCUAGCGUUGUUCGGAAUUACUGGGCGUAAAGGGCGCGUAGGUGGCCUGUUAAGUCGAACGUGAAAUCCCCGGGCUCAACCCGGGAACUGCGUCCGAGACUGGUGAUCUUCGAGUCCGGGAGAGGUGAGUGGAACUCCGAGUGUAGAGGUGAAAUUCGUAGAUAUUCGGAAGAACACCAGUGGCGAAGGCGGCUCACUGGCCCGGUACUGACGCUGAGGUGCGAAAGCGUGGGGAGCAAACAGG